rnacentral:rRNA from 1 species
UACGAAGGGGGCUAGCGUUGUUCGGAAUUACUGGGCGUAAAGCGUGCGCAGGCGGCUUCUCAAGUCAGGGGUGAAAGCCCAGAGCUCAACUCUGGAAUUGCCUUUGAGACUGAGUGGCUUGAGUACGAGAGAGGUGAGUGGAAUUCCCAGUGUAGAGGUGAAAUUCGUAGAUAUUGGGAAGAACACCGGUGGCGAAGGCGGCUCACUGGCUCGUUUCUGACGCUCAGGCGCGACAGCGUGGGGAUCAAACAGG